AAAAAGAGCUGCUCUUUGCCUCUGAUAAUCUGUUGUCAGAUGUAGCAAAGGAUUCCAAGACAGUAAAACACCCAACUUGCUCUCAGACCUUGAGUUCUCUACUUGGUCUGAUCGUAGGUUGGGCAGAGAAAAGGCUGCUUGUAUAUCAUGAUAGCUUUUACAGGGACAACAUUGAUAGCAUGCAAAGUCUUCUCUCUCUGAGUUUAUCAGCUACGGAAAUUUUGGUCGAACACAGUUCAGGCAACUAUCACAAAAGGAGUAAAGAGGUUGAUGUUGCAUUUAGCAGAGUUGAUAGUUACAUCAGGGCUUCGAUGCUCCACACCUUCUCUCAGGGAAAAGAGAGGUUGAUAUCAAGCAGAAAGUCGUCUAAACAACAGCAUAAUCCUCUUCCUAUCCUUUCUAUCCUUGCCCAAAAUGUUAGUGAUCUGGCUUUUAAUGAGAAAGAGAUAUAUAGUGCUGUUCUGAAGAGAUGGCACCCUCUUGCAACUGGUGUAGCUGUUGCGACACUUCAUGCUUGCUAUGGAAAUGAGCUGAAGAAGUUUGUUUCCGGGAUAAGUGAGUUGACUCCAGAUGCUGUACAGGUGCUGAUAGCAGCUGACAAGUUGGAGAAAGAUCUUGUACAGAUGGCUGUUGUGGAUGCUGUUGACAGUGAAGAUGGAGGAAAGUCAUUAAUGACAGAGAUGAUUCCUUAUGAAGCUGAAGCUGUGAUCGCAAACCUCGUA
rnacentral:misc_RNA from 1 species